GGGGGCCCGCACAAGCGGCGGAGCAUGCGGAUUAAUUCGAUGCAACGCGAAGAACCUUACCAAGGCUUGACAUGGACCGGACCGGGCUGGAAACAGUCCUUCCCCUUUGGGGCCGGUUCACAGGUGGUGCAUGGUUGUCGUCAGCUCGUGUCGUGAGAUGUUGGGUUAAGUCCCGCAACGAGCGCAACCCUCGUUCUAUGUUGCCAGCGCGUGAUGGCGGGGACUCAUAGGAGACUGCCGGGGUCAACUCGGAGGAAGGUGGGGACGACGUCAAAUCAUCAUGCCCCUUAUGUCUUGGGCUUCACGCAUGCUACAAUGGCCGGUACAAAGGGUUGCGAUACUGUGAGGUGGAGCUAAUCCCAAAAAGCCGGUCUCAGUUCGGAUUGGGGUCUGCAACUCGACCCCAUGAAGUCGGAGUCGCUAGUAAUCGCAGAUCAGCAACGCUGCGGUGAAUACGUUCCCGGGCCUUGUACACACCGCCCGUCAAGUCACGAAAGUUGGUAACACCCGAAGCCGGUGGCUUAACCCCUUGUGGGAGGGAGCUGUCGAAGGUGGGACUGGCGAUUGGGACUAAGUCGUAACAAGGUAACCGUAAGGGC
rnacentral:rRNA from 1 species